UACGGAGGGUGCAAGCGUUAUCCGGAUUCACUGGGUUUAAAGGGUGCGUAGGUGGGCAAGUAAGUCAGUGGUGAAAGCCUGCAGCUUAACUGCAGAACUGCCAUUGAUACUGUCGAUCUUGAGUACAUUUGACGAGGGCGGAAUGUGUCAUGUAGCGGUGAAAUGCUUAGAUAUGACACAGAACACCGAUUGCGAAGGCAGCUCUCGAAACUGUAACUGACGCUGAGGCACGAAAGCGUGGGUAGCAAACAGG
rnacentral:rRNA from 1 species